GAUUUUAAUUGAUUAAAGAGUUCUGGGAUGGGAUAUAAAAAAGAGGUCUUGAAUCAGAUUUGAGGAGAAGAACAGAAAGAAGGAGAGAACAAGAGAAUAGAAUAAGAGAGAAUAAAAAAAUGGACAGAUAGAGAGAGAGAGAAAAAAGGGCUGAAUAUUUAAGAGAGAGAAAAAUUCCGAAAAAUAUUAAAACUUUCAAAUAAAAAAGAACUAAAAAAAUCUUCUGCUUUCUUUCAUUGUUUGAAAUCAUCAUUAAUUGUUGUUGUUUCAUCAAAGCUUGAAGCUUUUGUUUUUGGGAUUACUGCUCCACUGGUUUGCAAACUCUGUUCCUGGGUUGUUACUGUUGCUGGACUGUUGUUGCUGUGCUGUAUUGUUAUUACUGCUGCUGAUUCUCAUCUUCAUUUUCUUUUGCUUCCAAUAUCAGGUACACAACUGACACGCUGGUUAUUGUAAACUGAAACAUGUAGCAUGAAUAUGAAAAUGAAGAGUUGAAGUUCCAGAUUUAUUUUAAUUACAUUCUAAAUUUUAUUUGUAUAUAUAGAUUUAUUUAGCUUACUAUAAUCAGAAUCAUGUAGCUGUUUAACAUCAGAUGAUAGCUUAACGGACGAACUAUCUAUAUAUUGCCUAAAAAUAAAUAAAUAGUGUAGUAAAUUCGUCUAGUUAAUUCGCUAUUGUUGGAUGAUUACCAUGUCUCAAAAAGCACGUUAGUUCAUCAAAAUAGACCAUUUUGGAACUUGGAGGAAUGUUGUUUAAUUAAAUAUUAUUGGUUAAUUUCAGCAUGUAAAUAAAUUAAUACAUUUUUUUUAUUUUAUUUUGUAGAGAUAAACUUAAUAGAGAAUAAUGUAGGCAUUUUAGGAUUGUCUUUUAAAAAUAAAUGAGAUGAGCCUCGCCCAAUAAAAUGCACCAAUUGUGGGGCCCUCAAUAAAUGUUUAAUUGAGUAUUUAGAAUUCGGGAUGGACUGUUUUAGUGAAUUCCACAGUCUUACCCAUAAAUAAUAGUACGCUAAUCGCUUUAGGCACGAUUUUAAUAAUAAUACAUUCUUAAACACGGGUGUGCAUUUAUGCGACCCAAAUCCAGAUCCCAAAACAUUGAAUAAAAAUACAUUCCGGAUCGCGGGUGUAUUUUAUGUGACGCAAUCCAAAGACAUGUUUUUAAACGAUGUUCACAUUUUUAAAAAAAUAUAAUGAUAAAAGCGGUAAAGAGUUAAAACUUGCACAUGAGCGCAUAAUUGUAUAAAAUCAGAUAAACAAGCCGAAUAUGACAGUUGAGCGACCGUGCUAGAACCACGGAACUCGGGAAUGUCUAACACCUUCUCCCGGGUUAACAGAAUUCCUUAUCCGGAUUUCUGGUUCGCGGACUGUAGUACAGAGUCAUUCUUUUCCUCGGUUCGGGAUUAAAAUAGGUGACUUGGGACACCCUAAAUCUCCCAAGUGGCGACUCUGAAAUAAAUAAAUAAAUUCCGUUUUGAUUGUCCUUUAAUUGGAAAAACUCUUUCCGCCCUCGCGGGGGCGGAAGAAGGAGGUGUGACAGGGAUAUCAGGUUAUGACAAUAAUAAAGUAAAGUGACAAAGUAAAUAUCAAGCUAGGAGCAAUGGAAAUGAUAACACAGUAACAAGUGCAUGGAAUCACCCUUCGUUCUUUACUAUCAUUCUCACCAUAGAAAUCAACAGAAACGACACGACAUCACCCUUAGUUCUUUUACUCUCCCAUAAUCAUGGCACGACAUCAACCUUCGUGCUUUUACUUUAAAUAAUAUGGCACGACAUCACCCUUUGUGCAUUAACACUCAUAAUAUCGGCACAACAUCACCCUUUGUGCAUUAACACUCACUUACAAUAUCAUACACGGCAUCUCCCUUCGUGCUUUACACUUUUCCUCACCCAAACAAAUGAAAUGAUAGCAUCACGGCAAGAGAAUCAACAAUAGAAACAUCAAUAGAGACAAUACCGUCCCAGCAAGGGAGUCAACAAUAGAAACAAUAUUAUCCUAGCAAGGGAAUCAACUAUAACCAAUCUAGUUGCAACAGUUACUUCACAAAAUAAACUCCAACUUGAGCCAAUACUCGACACUGGUCAAUUACCAAACAUUUAUCAUAAGUCUUGUUCCAUAGUGCUAAUCAUCAAUUGAUGCAUGAACAUCACAUAAUAAAAUCACAAUAAUUAUAAUAUAAGACUCACGGGCAUGCUUGAUACCAAUGUAUAGAUACUGGUCACCUCACCUAUACGUCAUAUUCGACACUAACACAUAGGAAAUAAGACACAACACCUAUUUCCUCAAGCUAAGGUUAGACCAAAUACUUACCUCGGAUUCCACAGCAAAACUCAAGCCUCAAAUACCACUCUCUCUCUAGAUUUCGCCUCCAAUUCACUUGUAUAUAGUCAUAAUUAACUUAACAACAUUAGUAAAUGCUAAAGAAUUCAACUCCAAUGCUUAAUUAUAGAUUUUCUAUCAUUUUCCCCAAAAAGCCCAAAAAUCGACCGCGAGCCCGCUUGGUCAAAACUCGAGGUUCAGACCAAAACUCGGAUACCCAUUCACCCACAAGCCCAAAUAUGCAAUUAGUUUCAGAAUCCGAUCCCAAAUCGAGGUCAAAAUCCCCAAAUUUCUAAAAUCCCCAAUUCUCUUUAAAUCCCUAAUUUCUACCCUUAAAGAACAAGAUUUAGGCCUAGAAAUCUAAUGGAUGUUGAUGGAAAAUGAAAGAAAUGAGUUCAAGAACACAUACCUAUGAUUUGGUGUUGAAAUUUCUCUUCAAAAAUCGCCCUAGUUCGGAUUCUAUGGAAGGAUAUAUGAGAUUAUGGCAUAUUCCCGUUUUAAUUAUGUUUUAAAAAGAUUGGGCAGGCCUUCUUCGCGUUCGCGAAGGGCCUGCCGCGUUCGCGAAGAGCUGCCUUGCUCAGGCUUACGCGAUCGCGAGAUAUUCCACUUGUUCGCAAAGGGUAUGCCUCGCUAGCCUUCGCAUUUGCGGACCAAUGUACAUGUUCGCGUAGAAGAAAGGAUCGAUUCCCCAGCCCACCUCCAUUACACUACGCAUUCGCGUGUGGCCAGUCACAUUCGCGAAGAGCAAACCUCCCAGUGCUCUGCGUUCGCGACCAAGGCCUCGCAUUCGCGUAGAAGAAAUCCCUCCCCAGCAAGCUUGUACUUCGCAUUCGUGUAAGCUGCAUCGUGAACGCGAAGAACAAAAUCUCAGAAUACCAAAAGAAGCAAAACAACAGAAGUUCUUAAGUCCAAAACAUCCCGAAACCUAUCCGAAACUCACCCGAGCCCUCGGGGCUCCAAACCAAACAUGCACACCAACCUAAUAACAUCAUACAGACUUACUCGUGCAAUCAAAUCGCCAAAUUAACACCUAGAACUACGAGUUUAUCAUCAAAAUCAAAGAAAAAUCUCAAGAACUCUUAAAGUUUCCAGUUUCACAACCGAGGGUCCAAAUCGCGUCAUAUGAAUUCCAUUUCUUACCAAAUUUUACAUGCUUAACUUAAAUACCAUAACAAAUAUGUACCGGACUUCGGAACCAAAAUACGGGCCCGAUACCAUCAAACUCAAACAACGUUAAAUUUCCAAAAACUCUUAUAUUUUCAGUUAAACAAUUUCUUUCAAAAAUUCAUUUCUCGGGCUAGAGACCUCAGAAUUCAAUUUCGGGCAUAUGCUCGAGUCUCAUAUUUUUCUAGGGACCCUCCAGGACCGUCAUAUCACGGGUCCGGGUCCGUUUACCCAAAAUAUUGACCGAAGUCAACUUAAAUUCAAUUUUAAAGGCAAAAUUAGCAUUUUUCUCAAAUUUUGACACAAAGGCUUUCCGAAUAUAUGUCCGGACUGCGCCCGCAGAUCAAGAAGAAAAAAAAUGAGGUCUUGAAGGCAUCGGAGCCCCGGAUUAGGUUCUAAAACACUAGAUGACCUUUUGGGUUAUCAUACAAUCUAUCACAUAAAACUACUAAAGAAACUAAACUUGGAAAUUCAAGUAAUGUGGUUCAACAUAUAAUAAGGUUUCACACAAGUUUUCUAGGAACUUUAGACCAAUUGUUUGAGACCGGAAGAAAUUGAACUACUUGUAAAAAAAAAAAGCUCUUAUUACAAAAAUGUAGACACUUGCUCUAAAGGUGUCCAGAAGGUUACACCACAAGUUCACACAAAAAACAAAUGGUAUAAAAUUGAAGAAAAGCUAAUUUAUAAAAAAUAUUAUGACCAAACAUUAGACACUUGGUCUGAAGUCGUCCAGAGACAAUAAAAUUUUCCAUUCUUUCGGUUUGAAAAGCAUUGUAUAACAAGGACAAGAUAUAAAUAAUGGCCUCAAAUAUUUAUUCACGAGUAGGAACUAAACCUGCUAUUGAUCUCAAUGUUAAGUUAAUCAAAGUACGUAGCAUACUUUUGGAACUUUAGGGAUAAAUAAUACUCUAUUCAAUAAGCACCCUUGCGGCUUUUAUUUCCAUCAAGUAUUUGGUGUAAACAUGCAUCGUGUUUGCAAUUAAACCAAACAUUGUAAAUUCACUUCUUCUUUUUUUCUUUAUGGUAACAAUGUAAAUAUUACCAUUAACACCAAACUCCAAUACACUUACGGAGCACCAAAAAUUCCAUAUUCACCUUCCACAAAGGGUACAAUAAAAUGUAGGCCUCCAAUAGAGCAAACUAUACAAGAAGUUUCUGAAGUAAUCUAUGAUAGCAACGUGCUAAAUAGUUAAUUUCUAUUUAGAGGCUUUUAAAUAGAAGAAGUUUUGUUUGAUUAUCUCAUAUGAAGUAGUGUUUCACUCACAAAAGUUUAACUUCUUAUUCAAGUAAAAUUUAAGUCAAACAAAAUUUCAAACUUCUUUCCAACUUCAACUUUAACUUCAAAUAUUGAUUUUUUAAAUUUAAACCAAAUAUUAUCUACAAAAUAGAUUAUUCAAAAUUUAUGUACCAAAGAAAGACUAAAAACUUUUGUUCAAGGACUAAAAUAUUAUCAAUUCAAAAUCAAAAUUGCCACACUCUCUCUUCAAAGUGGAAUAAAUAAUUUUAUGACUUUUCAAGAGACCUUUAAAGUUAUUCAUCAAGACAGUAAAAGUAUCUCACCUCAAAAAAUAAAUAUAGGUCAAAUAUUUCUUUCUGAAGCCGUAAUGCCUCUUCCGAAUUAAAAUAGUAGUGAUUACUAUUAGUGGAUAAUAUUACCAGUAUGUUACUGCUAAACAACAUCCAUGUUUCAACCACCACUUGCCAAUAUUGAAAAAUAUCAAAAAGUAAAAUUUGUAAAGAAUUUUAAUUAGAAUGUAAAGGAAUGUAGGCAGCACUUUUGCCAAGGAUAGUAAUUUUCCUAGAUUGUGCAAAUAGUGUAACAAAAACUCGAUACUCAAGAUAUAAUGCCUACUAAAGAUAUUAAAUUUCUAUUGUUUAAUAUAUAAUUUCUUCUACCAUAAGAAUUCAUGAAAAAAAGUUUGAAUUGAAACAUAAGAUUUAAGAAAGAAGAAUAAAUAUAUUCUUCAACAUUAAUGAAGAAUCAUAGAAUGUUUUUAAGAAGAAGUAUUUUUCUCAUAUCUUUUAUUUACUUCAAAUAAAAGCCUCUAAAUAGAAAUUAACUAUUUAGCAAUGGUUGAACAAAUGUAAACUAAAUUCUUAAAGUAAUUACAAUUAUAACAUGUGUUGAUUACUAGUUCUGGAUGCCAAAAAUCGGCGGUACCCUUCAAUUACAUAUUGAUGUCCGCAUGAUAUCAGUUGUGCCAAUACUACAUAUAUAUACUCAUUUCUCUAUAGAAGAGAGUUGUAAGUUGCAGACAAUACCUAUCGGCAAAUGAAAGAAAGAGGAUAAGCACCACCGUAAUUGAUUCAAUUAUUCGUUUUUCAUUUUAAAUUUUUAGGUUGUUACCAUGACGUGUGGUUGAUCAAAUGUGAAGGAAUACAUAUUUUUGUUGAAGUUUAAUAACAAAAAGGGAUUAUACAGGUUUUGUGGGAAGUGAAAGAUUGUAGGUGGGAUUUACAUAUAGGAGGGUUGUACCUGAUUUUUGUUCAUUGUAAAUGAGUGCAUGAAAAGUCACGGCUAAAAAGACUUUUCUUAGUAAUGUGAAACGUUGUAACAUACACAACCUUUUAGAAUAAUUUUGUUCUUCUUUUUAUUUAAAUAUUAUAAUUUUUUUAAAAAUAAGCAGGAUAAUUACAUUUUUAAAAAGGGUAAAAAAGUAAUUUAACUUGUGACUUAAGGGCUUCCCACUUUUAGUAUAGUAUAGAUAGAUAUAGAUAUAGAUAGAUAAAUAUUCAUUAGACAUAAUUUUUGCAUAACUUUUGCCCAAAAGAGAGAAUGAAGCCGCCGUGGAGGUCCGAGUUCAUCAAAUUUUAUCUUUUCUUCCUCCAACCUUAAUAAUUUUUAUGUUUCUUUGAAUGAUUUAUUGUUGGCUAUCUUGGGGUUAAUUUCAUAAAUGGUCAUAUAACUAUGUCGUUUUUUCACUAAAGUCAUAUAACUUUGUUUCUCACACAAAAGUCAUAUAACUAUGACUUUUUUUCACUAAAGUCAUAUAACUUUGUCUUGUCACACAAAAAUCAUAUAACUGUGAUUUUUUUUUAAUACCAAAAUUAUAUAAUUAUGUUUUCUCACACAAAAAUCAUAAAACUUUUACUAACUCACACAAAAAUCACAGUAAUCGAAAAAUAUAAUUUUUCACUAGUAUUUUCUUAUUUUGUAGAUUUUUAUUUCUUAUUUUUAGCCUAAUAAAUAAUAGAAAUUUUUACCUCCUAUAGCAAAGGUUAACACCUUAUUUAUUUUAAGUAAAAACCAUUUAAAAAAAUUAUAUUCUAUAGAUACCUUUUAAUAUUUAUAGCAAAAUAUUUAAGUUUGGUUACCUCCUAACCCUAAGUCACUAAAUACGCUAUUCAGUUAUUUUCUUUGUCUCUCUCUAUUUUGAUACGCUAUUCAAUAAUGAACCGGACUCACACAAACUCUGCUUCACCGGCGUGGAAUUAAGCAAAUCAUCAUCACUUAGUAGGUCAAGAAUGGCAUCCUUGCCUCUUUUGGACUUGGCAUUUCUUGAAGAAAAACGAGAUUCUAAAAAAGACGACAACAUCCUUAUUUUCUGAUCAGAUUUAGAAGGACUUUUAGAUCCAUUAUCACCUUCUGAAUUUAGACCAACACUUUUUUCCUCCUCAUCACACUCGGCAACACUUCAGAUUAGAACUGCUGGUGUAGCUGACUUUAAUGUUGAUUCACUAGUUUCAGGCCCGUAUCAACAACUUCUUUUUCUUGCUCAUUAGAUACAUUCUCAAUGGACUACCGGCUUCCGGCGAACGGCGGAUUCACCAAAAUUAGGGUUUGUUGUUGAACAAAGACGGUGGAAUUUGGGGCCGAGCAACUUGAUUUUCUGUUAAUAUAUUUCAACGUAUUUUCAUGUAUUUUAUUGUAUUCAUUGUCUUUUUUUUCCAUUGUAAUUCAAUGUAUCUCGUUGUAUUCCAUGUAUUUUAUUGUAUUCACUAUCUUUUUUUUUCAUUGUAUUUCAAUGUAUCCCGUUGUAUUCUAUGUAUUUCAUUGUAUUCAUUCUCUC
rnacentral:lncRNA from 1 species